UGAGUAAUGUCUGGGAAACUGCCUGAUGGAGGGGGAUAACUACUGGAAACGGUAGCUAAUACCGCAUAACGUCGCAAGACCAAAGAGGGGGACCUUCGGGCCUCUUGCCAUCAGAUGUGCCCAGAUGGGAUUAGCUAGUAGGUGGGGUGAUGGCUCACCUAGGCGACGAUCCCUAGCUGGUCUGAGAGGAUGACCAGCCACACUGGAACUGAGACACGGUCCAGACUCCUACGGGAGGCAGCAGUGGGGAAUAUUGCACAAUGGGCGCAAGCCUGAUGCAGCCAUGCCGCGUGUGUGAAGAAGGCCUUCGGGUUGUAAAGCACUUUCAGCGAGGAGGAAGGUGGUGAGCUUAAUACGCUCAUCAAUUGACGUUACUCGCAGAAGAAGCACCGGCUAACUCCGUGCCAGCAGCCGCGGUAAUACGGAGGGUGCAAGCGUUAUCGGAAUUACUGGGCGUAAAGCGCACGCAGGCGGUUUGUUAAGUCAGAUGUGAAAUCCCCGGG
rnacentral:rRNA from 1 species